rnacentral:rRNA from 1 species
AGUGAACGCUGGCGGUAGGCCUAACACAUGCAAGUCGAACGGCAGCACAGUAAGAGCUUGCUCUUACGGGUGGCGAGUGGCGGACGGGUGAGGAAUACAUCGGAAUCUACUUUUUCGUGGGGGAUAACGUAGGGAAACUUACGCUAAUACCGCAUACGACCUACGGGUGAAAGCAGGGGAUCUUCGGACCUUGCGCGAUUGAAUGAGCCGAUGUCGGAUUAGCUAGUUGGCGGGGUAAAGGCCCACCAAGGCUACGCACCGUAGCUGGUCUGAGAGGAUGAUCAGCCACACUGGAACUGAGACACGGUCCAGACUCCUACGGGAGGCAGCAGUGGGGAAUAUUGGACAAUGGGCGCAAGCCUGAUCCAGCCAUACCGCGUGGGUGAAGAAGGCCUUCGGGUUGUAAAGCCCUUUUGUUGGGAAAGAAAAGCAGCAGGUUAAUACCCCGCUGUUCUGACGGUACCCAAAGAAUAAGCACCGGCUAACUUCGUG